GGGGACGACAUGGCAUCGACGGGAUUGUGUCAUCGUUGUAUAAGCAUGCAGUGGGUUGUAUAUUGACCACUUUAAGCCUGAUAUGCACAAUUUUUAACUGGCAAUACACAAUUUGCUUUAGCAGCGUAGUUAGACUAUACUGUUAGACGUUCUCGGAAAGCUUUUAUCUGUCUGGCUUUCCAUAUGAGGAUGCAUCAUACCGACAGGUUGCUCCACCGGACCGCCGUGGCCGGAGGCUAAGAUAAAGCGGUAACCUCAAUUGAAAUUAACUUGUCACUCAGUUAAUCAGUUGAAAAUCAAGUAGUGACUAAGCAUGUAGAAGGCAGCGGUAGUGUUUUCUCCGGACGAGGGUUCGAUUCCCUCCGUCUCCACAA
rnacentral:tmRNA from 1 species